GACGAACGCUGGCGGCGUGCUUAACACAUGCAAGUCGAACGGAAAGGCCCUGCUUUUGUGGGGUGCUCGAGUGGCGCACGGGUGAGUAGCACGUGAGUAACCUGCCCUUGUCUUUGGGAUAACUUCAGGAAACUGGGGCUAAUACCGGAUAGGAGCUCCUGCUGCAUGGUGGGGGUUGGAAAGUUUCGGCGGUUUGGGAUAGACUCGCGGCUUAUCAGCUUGUUGGUGGGGUAGUGGCUGACCAAGGCUUUGACGGGUAGCCGGCCUGAGAGGGUGACCGGCCACAUUGGUACUGCGAGACGGCGCAGACUGGUACGGGAGGCAGCAGUGGGGAGUAUUGCACAGUGGGCGGAAGCCUGAGGCAGCAACGCCGCGUGCGGGAUGACGGCCUUCGGGUUGUAAACCGCUUUCGCCUGUGACGAAGCGGGAGUGACGGUAAUGGGUAAAGAAGCACCGGCUAACUACGUG
rnacentral:rRNA from 1 species